ensembl:lncRNA
UGUCCUUGUGUAGUACGUUCCAUUCACCAUUCCUCUUGUGAAAAACCAACUAUUAUGGGGAUAGUGUUUUUUUUAGAGUGGAGUUAUGCUUUGCUGCUGUCAUACGACGGAACACGUACUGUGUCAGUGUUCCUGACAGGAGAUUGCAUGUCUUGCUAUUUACUUUUGUAAAUAGGAACAGAAGCACUCUCCUUAGUAACAGGUUACAUAAACGUGCAGGAACCUCAGAGGUCGGACCCUUCAGCUGUUCUGCUGUGGCUGUCCUGAAAUUAAAGCUCCAUCAGACAUCUCAGAAGGAUGUCACAGUACCCUUGCUAUUGACAGGCAUUUUCUUAACCUUGUUGCCUUAUUUAUAGUAAGCAAACAUUCAUUCUUAAAGCACCUACGAGUAGCGUUAUUUCAGAGCUGUAUUGAUUAUUCUGCUGUAUGUAUUAGUUGUCAGGUCUAUACGCUUCUCUCCUGAGAUUGGUUCUGUGACACACUCAAUACUGACUUUCCAAGGACCUAAAGCUACAAGGCAUAUUUCUCUUAAACUGCUUUUUUGAACUCAGUUAAUGGUGUGGUUGUAAGCAAACACUGUGCUCAUGCAGCAAUAACAGUGAUUUCGGAGUUUAUCAUAAUCAUUGGACGUUGCCUGUACUGUAAGUGGUAUAUAUUUGCUCUGUGUUUGUUUUCACUUCCAGUCACACCGCACUUUGAAACUGAGUUAAGUAAAUUUUUGGCCACAGCACAAAGCAGAAUUCGUUGUAGAAUGGUAAUUCAGAUUAUACAGUUUGUCUGAAUCUUAGUGCUGUAUAAAUAGUGGUGAUUGAGCAACUAUGUCAGUUCUUCCUGUUUUCCAGCCUACAUUUUCAUUCCUUACAGUAUGCAUAUGGGACUCUAGCAAAAUUUGAGGUCAAGAGAAAAUAUCAUAAUUCUAAAAUAUAGGUGCAGUAGUCCCUUUGCACAGUGUUUGUGUCUACAGUUUAUGGUUGUGUUGUGAUAAAUAUUAGUAGCUCAAUGCUUUACUGUACUUCAGCUUUCAGAUUUAUUUGCCAUGUGGUCUGUCAACUUUGCCGUGAAUGUGUGCAUGAUUGAGAAAAAUUACUGUCCUUAAUCUGGUUUAUCUUUAGUUGAAAUCUUAGAUUCCUGUAAUAGUGUAGUUUAUAGAAAUGGAUUUCUCAUAGGAGCAAGUGUUCUAUGUGCACAGAAGGAGUAGUUGUUGUGCUGAGCAUAGCAACUUAUAUCAGUUCAUAUCUGCCAUCUUCUGCAUGGAAUGAAAAUGUAUUUUCCCCUACAUACUGCUAAAAAAAAAAAAACAAAUGCUAGGUUUUAAUCUUAGUCAAGUCACUAGAUGUCACAAUUUCACAUCCCCACUGUGAUACAGAAAUUGUGUGUACGUAGUGUGUAGACUAAUGCAUCAAUCUUCCCAUCCUGCUCUGCAAUGUGACAGUUUGCAGUGGGGUGGUGGGAGCAGCAAACGGGGAGAGUGUGGUCAUAAGAACCUUACGGAGCUUCCGACAAUCCUGCAGAUUUGGCUCCUCCAUAGCUGAUAGAAGCUCUAGUGAAUGUGUUGGUCCUUGAGAAACCAUAACAAGCAUCACUACAGGAAAAUCAUUUAGGCAUACGUAAGGGAAGAGGACCUCUGUGAAGAAGGCCUUUCUACGUAUGACUGAUAUUUUUCCUUUCUGGCUGGACUUCACUGUGGUGGUUGCAUCCAUCUGUUGCUUGUUGUUUAUCUUAAGCAGUCUGUCAGCUCUCGUGCUUUUUCCAUCUUUAGGAACUGGCUUUCAUGGUUCUGGUUAAAACUGUUUUAUACGAUCUGAGUGAUCCAUCAUGAUAAGGAGUUGGAGUGUAUGUUUAUUGUGCAAAUGCUUAUCUGAGGACUCUGAAACAUCUAUGAGUGAGAACAAGAAAUGAAAAACGAAACUUGUAGGUAACCAAAACAUCAGAUAGGAAGACUUCCAUCAGAAACUGUAUCUGCAUCAACAUGAGUUUCAUCCUCUCAUUCACAGAGGUUCCAGAUCCUUUAAAAAUGACCAAUAUCCGUAGCGUGUUCACUUUCUUUUCGUGUCAUAGUUAUUUUCCUUAAGCAUCACUUUUAAGGUUUUCUAAAAACUCUGACAGUCUGCGUCUUAUACCAGACACCUGUAAAAUAACUUAGUAUUAUUAUAUAUUGUGGUUUUUUUGUGGCUGCAUUGGGGAUAGAAUUCAACAUACUUCACUACGUUAUUUGUAAAGAAUCAUUUUGAUAUAUAAGCACUAUAUUCUGUAAUGUCUAAUAUUAAGUAAUGACAGAUGUGUUGUUGAAAUGCAACUUACUGAGAGGAGGAAGCAGAAACAGUCAUUGGUCAGUGUUCCCCUCACUUGUUUGUUGCGCUGAAUUUCAGAGUGUAAUUUGUAAAUCAAUUUUGUUCACAUGUGUAAUCAGAUUUUAUUUUCAUUGUAAUGCUUAUGUAAUUAACUUACCUGUGUAUAUUUCUGGUAAUGAUUCCAUAAGCAUGGACAAUAUAUUGUUAUGUUUAGCACUACAGAAUUAACAUUAAGAACAAGUGAAGCUUAUUGCUAAGGAGCAAAUGGAGCACCUUACUGGGAGAGCGCGCUGUGAUUUCAGUGCUGUGGGGCUGACAGACAGGAGGUCAUUCCAAACUUGACUGCAAAUUGCUCUUCAGUGUAGUAAGCACAUGGACACACUGCUACCAGUGCUGUAAGAAGCACAGCAGUGGCUGUUUUUAACCUAUAAAUAUACUGUAAUUUAAAAUUUUCCUAUAAAAUGAGUUUAUAUUUAAUUGCUGCCUAAUACGUGUACUUAAAAUUAGGAUUUUUAGCAGGGCUGAGGGUGGGUGGGCAUGCCAGUGUAUUUCUGGGAGGGGCUGUUGUAUAUACAUUUCUUUGCACUUCCCGUUCAGUUUAACUGUUAACCCAAACCCAGCUCUGACUGCGACAUUUACGUACUUCAUUGUGAUGGAGGUCCACCUUCUGUGGCCCCAGGCUUCAGCAUUUGACAGAAAAGGUCUUUCCAUUCAAAUGUGAAUACUCUGAUGUACCUCUAGCAUGGAAAUGACCAGGCAACGAAUUUUACUCUGCUGAACUCAAGAUGACGGUGGAGUAUUAUUUAAAGCCAGUAUCUGAAGCUGUUAACCAGCAUUUGGAAAGAGUCAGAGGGACGAUUGCCUUUUGGUGAGUGCAGCCCUAACUCUGCAGCAUUGUCACUGCAGAGACUGUUACCUGUUCCGUACUGUUCUGCCUUAGGUGGCUUUGACUUUCAGAUCCUUUCAGGAGCACUUUUGAUUUCUGAGUUGCGGAACAGGUGUUGGGGAUCAGGGACACUCACUCAACAUCUCCCAGCGUGUUACUGUGCUUGCUGUAUGUGUUGGAUUUAGUCUUACAUAUUUCCAGAUACAUCAUCAUGAGAUUAAAGGAAUUCGGAUGGCUGCAGAUUGUCUCACGUGAAUGACAUCAGUAAAGGUUAAUGAUGUUAACUUCUUUUUGUUUUUUUUUAAACCUGUUGAAUAAAUGAGAAGU